rnacentral:misc_RNA from 1 species
GGUGUCUGUGGACUGCGUUCGCCACACGCGUGUGCCGCUGGAAAGUGCGUGCGUGCAGUGCGUGUGUUUGUCGCCCAGUGCCUGCUGUAGAAUUUACCCCAUGCAGCGCUUAAACCGUGCUAUUUAAUACGUGACACGAAAAAAAAUCGUAGCUAGUCGCAAAAACUACCCCUGGACUCGAGCGAGUUUCUUCAGUAAAAUUAGCUACGACGAGAAAAUUGAUAUUAUUGCUCGGCUCAACCCCUUGCGUCUCUCUUCUAUGCGUAUUUACAUGAAUUUUCGAAGGAAGCAGCAUCGAAGCUCGAAUCUUUGGUGCAAUCUAUUUGGCUGAUCCAACGAGAAACAGAAGAUAUAAAAUUUCGAGAUCAAGGUGUACGCAAAGGCAAAGUGGUGCAAAAGUGUCGAAUCGAGUGCACAAUGCACAUAGGUAUGAUAGCUGGCGAGGGGUGCGGUUUUCUUUCUAUAUAACUAGCGUAUACGCAUAGACUGUUGGCGUGUCUGCGCGUAUCGUGUAUGUGCAGCAUCUAUGCACACAGAUGCGUGGGCGUUGGGAUAUAAUGACAAACACUCGGCUCUCAUCGGCAAAACGUCAAAGUCCGGCGUGAAGGAUCUGUCGUCCGUCUCGCUUGGCCCAGUCAUAGGCGCAUCGAUCGCUGCGACAGGUAAUAGCGAGAGCGAGAAAAAGAGGAGCAGUACCACACAUAAAGGCGCUCGCGCGCAAGAGGAUUCACAAACAAUACACAGGGCACAGACUCGCGCAUAAAAGGGAGCGGGCCGGGAAUCAUCGCGGGGGUGACUGCUCAUAAGGCGCAAGCAUGACGGGCGAAGACAAGAAGGGCGGCUCGGCUGCCAAAGCCAACAACACCACCACUACCACCACUACCACCGACCUAACCUGCGACAACAAUGUAACGACAACGACAACGGCGGCGUGCAACAACAAUAUGAGCAACGGCGACGCCAGCAGCAACAAUCACAACAACCAUCACAACCACCAGAACGGCAACGUCGACAAGACAGCGCCGGUGGCACCGGGGACUAACGUCGAGACGUUGCCACGCACCGGCAAGCAGGGAGAACCGAGCACAUUAUUCUUGCGCGCGGCCCGAGCUGGUCAGCUGGAAAAAGUCCUCGAGUAUCUGGAUUCCGGGGUGGACAUCAACACCUCUAAUGCGAAUGGACUGAACGCCUUGCACUUGGCGGCCAAGGACGGACACUUGGAAAUCGUGAAGGAGCUGCUGCUGCGCGGAGCGAUCGUCGAUGCGGCCACAAAAAAGGGAAAUACCGCUCUUCACAUCGCCUCUCUUGCCGGACAAGAGGAGGUUGUACACUUGCUCGUGCAGAGAGGAGCGUCGGUCAAUGCGCAAUCCCAGAAUGGAUUCACUCCGCUUUACAUGGCAGCGCAAGAAAAUCACGAUUCGGUCGUUAAAUUUCUCCUCAACAAAGGAGCCAACCAGACACUUGCCACCGAGGACGGCUUUACACCUUUGGCAGUCGCUAUGCAACAGGGCCACGAUAAGGUAGUGGCCGUGCUUUUGGAAAACGAUACGAGAGGCAAAGUUCGAUUGCCCGCCUUGCACAUUGCGGCCAAGAAGGACGACUGCAAAGCGGCAGCAUUGCUUUUACAAAAUGACCACAAUCCAGAUGUGACUUCGAAAAGUGGCUUCACACCGCUUCACAUCGCCGCACACUAUGGCAACGAUCGAAUCGCUUCGUUGCUCUACGAUAAAGGAGCAGAUAUUAAUUUUGCAGCUAAGCACAAUAUCACUCCUAUGCACGUGGCAGCUAAAUGGGGAAAGAUAAAAAUGGUCAAUCUACUGAUGAGCAAAGGAGCCAACAUAGAAGCUAAAACUAGAGACGGACUCACACCUCUGCACUGCGCCGCUCGCUCUGGACACCAUGAAGUCGUCGAUAUACUCAUUGAAAAGGGAGCCCCUAUUGGUUCGAAAACCAAAAAUGGACUGGCACCACUGCACAUGGCCUCCCAGGGUGACCAUGUCGAUGCUGCCCGAAUCUUAUUAUAUCACCGAGCUCCUGUUGACGAAGUCACGGUCGACUAUCUCACGGCUUUACACGUAGCUGCUCAUUGUGGACACGUUAGAGUAGCUAAAUUGCUUUUGGAUCGUAAUGCCGAUCCCAACGCCAGGGCAUUGAAUGGCUUUACUCCACUUCACAUCGCUUGCAAAAAAAAUAGGAUUAAAGUCGUUGAAUUGCUGUUAAAACAUAAAGCCAGUAUUGAAGCAACUACCGAAUCCGGUUUGACGCCUCUUCAUGUCGCGAGUUUCAUGGGCUGUAUGAAUAUUGUCAUUUACCUGCUGCAACACGAAGCUAGUCCAGACAUACCAACGGUUAGAGGUGAAACACCUUUGCAUUUAGCAGCCAGAGCGAAUCAGACUGACAUUAUUAGAAUACUCCUGAGGAAUGGGGCACAGGUUGAUGCCCGUGCUAGGGAGGAGCAAACGCCACUACACGUCGCUUCGCGCCUCGGUAACGUAGAUAUCGUCAUGCUGUUACUUCAGCAUGGCGCAAGUGUCGAUGUAACAACUAAAGAUUUGUACACGCCAUUGCAUAUAGCUGCCAAAGAAGGCCAAGAAGAAGUAGCAUCGGUUUUAUUGGAGAAUGGUGCCUCUCUCACAUCAGUCACCAAAAAAGGAUUCACGCCUUUGCAUUUAGCCGCUAAAUACGGCAACAUGAACGUUGCUAGGCUUCUACUGCAAAAGAAUGCCCCGGUUGACGCUCAAGGAAAGAACGGAGUUACUCCACUGCACGUAGCUUCUCACUACGAUCAUCAAAAUGUGGCUCUACUUUUACUAGAUAAGGGUGCUUCACCGCACGCAAUGGCCAAAAAUGGUCAUACUCCUCUUCACAUCGCAGCGCGCAAGAAUCAGAUGGACAUUGCCACAACGCUACUGGAAUACGGUGCAAGAGCUAAUGCCGACUCCAAAGCCGGCUUCACGCCGCUUCAUUUGAGUGCCCAAGAAGGACAUACCGAUAUGUCGACUUUGCUCAUCGAGCAUAAAGCCGAUACCAAUCAGAACGCCAAGAACGGACUUACACCGCUACAUUUGUGCGCACAAGAAGACAAAGUCAAUGUAGCUUCAAUUCUGGUUAAAAACGGCGCCCAAGUCAAUGCAAAAACCAAAGCCGGUUACACUCCGCUGCACGUCGCUUCUCACUUUGGUCAAGCUGCGAUGGUCCGAUUUCUACUGAGCUCCGGAGCUACGGUGGAAAAGCGCACCAAUGCCGGAUACACUCCUCUUCAUCAGGCCGCUCAGCAAGGACACACAUUGGUUAUCAAUCUUCUUCUUGAGAGCAAGGCUCAACCUAAUUCCGUCACCAAUAAUGGCCAAACAGCCCUGGACAUCGCACAAAAACUCGGAUACAUAACGGUCGUGGAAACAUUAAAAAUUGUCACGGAGACCGUUAUCACUACCACUCAUACCGUGACCAUCGAAGAGAAGUACAAAGUGCAAGCGCCUGAAUCAAUGCAAGAAACAUUCAUGAGUGAUAGCGAGGAUGAAGGUGGUGGCGACGAAAUCGGCACAACGGCCAUGAAUGUGUACGCGGGUAAAGCGCCUCAUGCGCAACACGUGUACCUACCUUCCUACUACCAGGGCCAAAUGACUUAUACUCGUGAAGAUCCUAUGCUCAGUGAUCAACAGCAGUAUCGGUACAUGACCGUCGACGACAUGAAAUCUAUGGGGGAUGACUCGAUGCGAGUCAACGUAACCGACGACGAACGCGACAAUCGGCACUCCGGAGCACCGACAAUUACCGAAAUGAUAACCAAAGAGAGUUACAAUCGACAAAAUGCGGCGAAUCAUAAACCUGAUAACGUUGAUAUCAAUCGUGGCCAUCCAGUUCAUGUUGGAAUUCCAUCAUGGAAAAACUUCCUGGUUUCUUUUCUGGUGGACGCCCGAGGCGGUGCCAUGCGAGGAUGUCGCCACAGCGGAGUACGCGUCAUUGUGCCACCGCGAAAAGCCACAAUGCCCAUGAGAGUGACGUGCCGUUACCUCAAGAGAGACAAACUGACGAAUCCACCACCGUUGAUGGAGGGUGAGGCACUGGCAAGUCGCAUACUCGAGCUUGGACCUGUUGGAGCUAAAUUUUUAGGACCUGUAAUCAUCGAAGUGCCACACUUUGCCUCUUUACGUGGAAAAGAGCGUGAAAUCGUUAUACUGAGAUCUGACAAUGGAGAAACUUGGCGCGAGCACACCUUGGAAGCUAGUGAAGAGGCUGUUCAGGAUGUUCUUAACGAGAGUUUUGAAGGAGAAGAAUUAAGCCAGUUGGAAGACCUUCAAACUUCACGUAUAGUCAGGAUAUUGACUGUUGACUUUCCACACUAUUUCGCUGUUGUUUCUCGCAUAAGACAAGAAGUUCACGCUGUUGGUCCAGAAGGAGGUACGGUGUCCUCCACAGCUGUUCCGCAAGUGCAAGCUAUCUUUCCAGCAGCAGCUCUUACCAAGAAAAUUCGAGUUGGCUUACAGGCUCAUCCGAUACCGGCCGAGCUCGUUGCUAAAUUACUUGGCAACAGGGUGGCCGUUUCUCCGAUUGUUACGGUCGAGCCCAGAAGAAGAAAGUUUCACAAGCCUAUCAUUUUAACCAUACCUGUACCUCAAGCUGCAAAUAAGGGGAUGAUAAAUCAAUAUUCAGGAGAUGCUCCGACACUUAGACUGCUUUGCAGCAUUACUGGCGGCCAAUUAAGAGCAGUUUGGGAAGACGUAACAGGGUCAACGCCCUUAUCAUUUGUCAAGGACUGUGUAUCGUUCACGACCACAGUAUCAGCGAGGUUUUGGCUCAUGGAUUGCCGCAACGUUUCCGAAGCUACAAAAAUGGCAACUGAAUUGUAUACUCACGCUACGCAUGUGCCGUUUAUGGCCAAAUUCGUUGUAUUUGCGAAGCGCACCGAUCCUCUGGAAGCAAGACUGCGGGUAUUUUGUAUGACCGAUGACAAGGAGGAUAAAACGUUAGAGCAUCAAGAGCACUUUACUGAAGUGGCUAAGAGCCGAGACGUCGAGGUUCUUGAGGGUAAAACGCAGUUUAUGGAGUUUGCUGGUAAUCUCGUACCUGUGCUCAAAAGUGGCGAACAAUUGCAACUUCCUUUCCGAGGUUUUAAAGAAAAUCGCGUUCCUUUCACUGUAAGGGUAAGAGAUCCUGAUGCGCAAGACACAAUGGGCCGCAUCAUGUUUAUGAGCGAGCCGAAAAAAGCUAAAGGUGAACCACCUCAAACGCCGAUUUGUACCCUCAAUAUUAUGCUUCCUGAAAAAAUCAUACCGGAUGGAGGCAGUUCAGAGCUCGACUUGCUUGAACUAUCUAAAAACUAUAGCUUCCUUAGAGAUGGAGGUUUAAGCAGGCCAGAUGCUAUUCAUAGAGCGACGAUCCGUUUGACCGAUAUCGCCAACCUACUCGACAAGGAUUGGGAAAAAUUAGCACAAGAGUUGAAUAUUACGCCAAAUGAAAUAGCUCAAAUCAAAGAAAAUCAUCCAGACUUGCCGGCUCAGCAAGCCACCGCUAUGUUCAAAGCCUGGCAAGCCAAUGGUAACAAAGCCACUGGUAAUACAUUGGAAAAGGCGCUUAACAAAAUCGGCCGUGAGGAUAUAGUGAAAACGUGCAUAUUCAACGUCGAGCUGGUUACGGACGACGUCGAGAAAGCCGUAGCUCGCGUCAGACUAGAUCAACCUGGUUUCGACACCUUCAAAGAUGAGCUAGGUCCAUCGAGAAACACGUCUCUUCAGCGAGACGCUACUCUGGAACCUAAAGCUGAGCUUGAAUAUGAAGAGCCGGAUCGCAUGAAGGACUCGGAAUCCGUCGAAGAUCUCAGUACUACUGGAGGAAGCCAAAAGACGACAGCCAAACAGCACGGCACGAUAACGAAUGGCACUAUUUACAACGCUACAUCAACCCCUAUCAAAGAUAAAUACGCUAGUGACGAAAAAGAGCUGGGUGAUAUGAUGGCUGAUUUUAUCGAGCAUAAGUUGCACGCAUCUGAAACAAUGGUGAAAAAUUCCCGUGAGGAUAUCGACGACGAUAAUAAAAAACGUCAAAGAGUCUUGGAGGAUGCUAACAGAAUAGUCUCUGGUGUAAAACAGGAUGCUGAGAAAGAGAUGAACAAGUUAGCGAAAGAAGGGUGGUCGGUUGUUAGUGACGAUGAAGAGAAAAAAUUGAACGAGGUUCAGAAUGCAUUAAGUCUAAAGAAAUCUGAUGCCCUCGAGGGCGCUGCGAGUAAUAUACUUGAGCCUCCUAUAAUUCAACAAAAGUGUAUCAUAGGAACCGAUGGAGAUCGAACGAUAACUACGAUUACUACUAAAACUAUUAUCACUACUGGUCGUGAUGUUAAGACAGAAAAAGAUGCAGAUACCGGUUACGAUACAACUGAUUUCACUAGACCAUUAGGUAUUGUAAGCAUUCAAGAAAUAGAAGUUGAAGCAGGUGAAAAAUUUAAGCCUGUUGUCUCCAAAAUAGAGAACACAAAAUCCGACGAUGAUCGUAGAAUACAUACUUUACCAGGCAAUAAAGAGAAAGUAUCUAACGAGCGAAAAGAAGAAGAUGAAACAUUGCAAGACAAUGAAUCAAAAUUUCCAGAUGAUUUAAAUGACGGUAAAAAAACAAAAGACAAAUCUAGCAAAAUAUUUGCUGGCAUUUUUAAAUCUCCCAAAAAUAAAAAAGAUAAACCAAAAGAUUCAUCGGAAAUCUCUUUUGAUAUUGUGGACAAGAGUACUAAAGCUUCGACGAUUCAAUUACUAGACGAAAUGAAAAAAUCAGCUGAUGCAACGAUUGAAGAUGACAUUAAAUAUGCAUCAACUUUACAAGAUGUAGAAUUAAAUAAAGAUGAUAUGGCAAGUAAAGAAUCUGAAAAAAAUAUAUCGAACGAAAAACUAAGUAAGGAUAAUUCUAGAUUGUUUGGUAUAUUAAAGAGUCCCAAAUCAAAAAAUAAAACAAAAAAAUUAAGUAAAACAGAAAGUUCCGCUGACGCUCCGUUUACCAGUAGUGAAGAAAAUGAUCGAAAAACAAAAUCGCACAGUACACAUCAAACAGUAAAUUCAGAUAAUUCCUUUUACGAAAUAGAUCUCAUAGAUGCUGAUGGACCAAACGAAAAGGAAACGAACCGAGACGAUGAAGUGGUGCUAAAAAAAGAAAUUGAAAUAAACAAAAAUGAAAGUCACAACGCUAAACAAGAAAAAAUUGGAGUAUUUUCAAAAAUGUUCCAGAAAUCUCCCAAAACAAAGGAUAAAAAGUCAUCAACUUCUAGAGAAUCUAGUGUCACCAAAGACGUACCAGUUGCUAGCGGUGAUGAAUCAAAAAUGAGUCCUAAUGUUAUAGAAAAAUCAUCGAUAUUUGUAGAAACAGAUUUGAAAAAAGUGACUCAACAAUUUCUAGAAGACAGCAUAAAUACUGCUGGUAUUAUUGAUGCAUGUCCUUACAAAUCAGAAUAUUUGUAUAAAACAACUACUUCGACUACAGCAAACAUUGAUGAGGAAGUUCAUGCUGAGAAGUCAUUAAAAAUAGAAAUGAAAAACGAAGAACCGAGUAAAGGAAAAGAUAAGACGGACGGCUUUCUAUCGGGGAUAUUUAAAGGUGCAAAACAUGCAUCUGACGAAGUUGUUGAUGAAGUAAAAAAAUUUGUAAAGGACACAAAAAAAGAGGCUAUGGAGGAAGAAGAAAAAGCUAAAAACCUAACUUCGAAAAUGAAAAAGAAUAUUGAUGAUGCCGAAUUAAAUAUUUUGCAUAAAACUAAUGAAGUGAAAAAAGACGUUAAAGAUGAUGUUAAUGAAACUAAACAGAAAUUGGAAAAAAUUACAAUUGAAACUACUACAGAACUUGUUGAUGGUAUUCAUGAAAAAAUGGAUGAUGACACAGCUAAAGCAAAAGAAAUCACAAAAGAGAGUCUUAAAGAUGAAAUUAUUAAAAUCGAAACGAACGUUACAAAAAGCAAGGAAAAAAAGAGCAAAUUUCUCACGGGUAUAUUUAAGGGUUCAAAAAGUGUAUCUGAAGAUGAAGAAAAAACUGAAUAUGAACUAAACAAAGACGCCAAGAAAAAAAAAGAAGAAUCGUCAGUAAUCAUAGAUGAGAAAAGAAAAAAUAUUAAUCUUGAAAGUGAAGCUUCGAAUGAUGGUCCAACAGUCUCAACUACUGAAGUUAUAAAAACAGAAAAAGAAUUGAAUGUCAGAGAUUCUAUUGAAACCCCUGAAAAGUCUAAACAAAAAACCAGUCGAUUUUUUUCAGGUGUUUUUUCCACACCAAACACUUCAAAUGAGGAAGCAGCAAAAGACGUUAAAGAAUACAUUGGUGAAUCAAAACGUUCGUUUAAAAAACAAAAAAAUAAAUUACAUAAAAAGCCUGCGAAAGAUGAUGUAAAACUUCAAUCUCAUGAAGCUAAUACGAAUAUUAAUGAAACAAUCGAUGAUCUUGAUAAAGUAGUUCAAAAUGAAGGACUAAUAGUAAAGAUUGUUGAUGGAAAUGAUAGCAAUUUAACUGUCAAAGAUGAAAAAUUAAAAAAGGACAGUGAGGAAGAAAUGACACCAAGUAGAGAUCAUGUCAGUGAGCCUACUAAAAAGAGCAAAGAUAAAGCAGGAGGAUUUCUAUCAGGUAUUUUCAAAGGAGCUAAACACGCUACUGACGAAAUAACGGAUGAACUCAAAGAGUUUGUCGAAGAAACUAAAAAAGAAGCGAUCGAAGAAGAAGAAAAGGUAAAGAAAUCAUCUGAAAAAGUAAAGAAAGAUGUUAAGGACCACGCUGAUGCUAUCUCACAAGAAAUGGACAAACUGACUGCUCAAGUCGUGGUAAAAACUGAGGCAUCGGUAGAUAGUGUUCAGCAAGUCAUUGACGAAACAUCAAACGAAAAAGAAAAAUUGGAAAAAAAAGUUGAUAGUGAUGCAAAGACAGCAGUAGAUCAUGCAGAUGUAGCAGUGAAAAAAAGUAAAGACAAGGUUUCUGGAUUUUUAUCAGGUAUAUUGAAAAGUUCGAAACAUACAUCAAAUGAAGUUGUCGAAGAGGUUGAAGAGUUUUUGGAAAAAACCAAAAAAGAGGCAGAUGAAGAAAAGCAAAACAAGCUUGAAGAAACCAGUAAAACUAAGAAAGAGUUGGAGAGAACAACUCUUCCGCAUAUUGCCAGUUCUGACAAAAAAAUUUCCUCCAUCACUGCAGACGUAAGCUCUAAUGUUGAAAGUAUUCCUCAAGAAAUUCAAGACCUAAAAAAUGAUGACUUGACAGUUGCAUCAGUUAAAAAAAGCAAAGAUAAGACAGCUGGAUUUUUUUCGGGGAUAUUCAAAGGUGGAAAGCACGCUGCGGAUGAGUUAACGAGCGAAACCAAGGGAUACACCAAAGAAAUCGAAAUUGAAGCAUUGAACGAAGAGGAAAAAGCCAAAAGAUUAGAAACAAAAGUGACAAAAAAUACUGAUGCUCUCGUUUCCGCUUCGAAGAAUGUGGAUAAAACUCUUUCUAAUAUAUCAGAUUCAACUGCUAUAAUCGAAGAUGAUACAAAAAAAGAGGAAAUCGAAACUUCCAAAGAAAUUAAAGACCCUAAACGUGAAGAUUCGAUAAAAAAAAGCAAAGAUAAGACAGGCGGAUUUCUUUCAGGUAUUUUCAAAGGAGCUAAACGUGCUGCCGAUGAUUUAGCAGGUGAAAUGCAGGAAUUUGUCGAAGAGACGGAAAAGGAAGCAUUAGAUGAAGAAGAAAAAGCAAAAAGAUCGGCAACAAAUAUAAAAAAAGAAGCCGGUGAUCUUGUUGUUUCUGCUUCAAAACACGUGGAUAAAGUUGCUACAGAUAUGUUAGAGACAACUACUGAAAUAGUAGAUGAUGUCAAACAAUUAGACAUUGAAACGUCUGAAAAAAUUGAUAAAUUAAAGAAAAAAACCUCAAGUGAUUUAAAAUCUGCUGGCGAUUCAAUUAAUGCAACUGCUAAAAAAAGUAAAGAUAAAUCCAGUGGCUUUUUUUCUGGCAUUUUGAAGGGUUCCAAACAUGUAUCGGAUGAAGUUGUUGAAGAUGUGCAAACAUUUAUCGAAAAAACAAAAAAAGAAACUGAAGAAGAAAAACAAAAUAUACUCAAAGAAACCCAUGAGGCAGCUUGUGAAUUAGAAAAGAAUGUUACAAAAACAAGCGAUAAUGUAGCUGAGAAAUCAUCUUUUCUAAUAAAAGAUGUCAGUCGAGCUAAGGACACCAUAUCUAAAGAAAUUGAUGAUACUGAAGACAAAAUCAACAAACAAACCGAGAAAGUUACAGAAUCAGUUAAUGAGUCUACCAAGAAAGCCAAAGAUAAAACAACCGGAUUUUUUUCGGGAAUAUUUAAGGGCGUGAAGCAUGCAGCUGAUACAGUAGCUGAUGAAGAAAAGGAAUUAGUCGAGGAGAUAGAAAAAAAAGGUUUAGAAGAAAAAGAAAAGGCAAUAAAUGUAACCGAAAAAUAUCAAAAAGAAGUCACUGAUUUAACUAUAGCAUCGUCCAAAAGCCAAGAAAAAACUCUUGAUUAUCUUACUGAUACAGCCAUCGACGUAGCAGAUAAUAUUGAAAAAGUAUACAGCGAGACUUUAGCAGACACGCAAAAAUUGCGUAAGAAAACUAAAAGCGAAAAGAAAUUGGCUUCGGAUUCAUUUGAUGGCAUGUCUAAAAAAGGAAAAGACAAGGUUAGCGGAUUUCUAUCUGGCAUUCUAAAAACUUCGAAAGACGCGCCACAGGUUAUUAGCAGCGAUGUUGAAGGAACGAUGGCGAAGAAGAUGAUCGGAGAAUCAAAUAAAAAUGAAAAUCCAUCGGAAAUAUCAAAAGUUGAUGAAACUGAUGAAGAAAACCCCGAUCUUUCAAAACAUGAUAAAUCAAGUGAAAAAUCUUCACUGAUUGAAAUAAAAAAUCAAAGUGGUAAAGAAAUGGCUGACUCAAUCGAAAGCACAAAAAAUGCAAACGAUGAUUCGUUCGAAACCAGUAAUAAUGCUUCAGUUAGUGACUCAUCGAAAAGGGGCAAAGAUAAGACUGGAGGAUUCCUUUCGGGUAUUUUCAAAGGAGCUAAACGUGCUGCUGAUGAUUUAGCAGGUGAAAUGCAUGAAUUUAUCGAAGAGACGGAAAGGGAAGCAUUAGAUGAAGAAGAAAAAGCAAAAAGAUCGGCAACAAAUGUGAAAAAAGAAGCCGGUGAUCUUGUUGUUUCUGCUUCAAAACACGUGGAUAAAGCUGCUACAGAUAUGUUAGAGGCAACUACCGAAAUAGUAGAUGAUGCCAAACAAUUAGACAUUGAAACGUCUGAAAAAAUUGAUAAAUUAAAGAAAAAAACCUCAAGUGAUUUAAAAUCUGCUGGUGAUUCAAUUAAUACAACUGCUAAAAAAAGUAAAGAUAAAUCCAGUGGCUUUUUUUCUGGCAUUUUGAAGGGUUCCAAACAUGUAUCGGAUGAAGUUGUUGAAGACGUGCAAACAUUCAUCGAAAAAACAAAAAAAGAAACUGAAGAAGAAAAACAAAAUAUACUCAAAGAAACCCAUGAGGCAGCUUGUGAAUUAGAAAAGAAUGUUACAAAAACAAGCGAUAAUGUAGCUGAGAAAACAUCUUCACUAAUAAAAGAUGUCAGUCGAGCUAAGGACACCAUAUCUAAAGAAAUUGAUGAUACCGAAGACAAAAUCAACAAACAAACCGAGAAAGUUACAGAAUCAGUUAAUGAGUCUACCAAGAAAGCCAAAGAUAAAACAACCGGAUUUUUUUCGGGAAUUUUCAAGAGUUCAAAACAUUCAACCGAUGAGGUGGCUGAUGAGGCUAAGGAAUUAUUAAAGGAAACUGAUAAAGAGGCUCAUGAAAUCGAAUCAAAAAUUGAAAAAAGCCUGGGGGAGAUUGAGAAUCCGUUCUUAACUGUAGAAAAUGUUAAUACCUCAGAAAUAAUACCCGAUGAUGGAGAUUUGAAGCUUAAGUUUUGCGAUACGGAAAAACCUAAGAACGAAAUUUUCACUGACGCCAAAUACACACAAAGUGAAGGCCAAAAGGUUUCUCAAGCAUCUGUCGAUUCAGUUAAGACAUUAACAAAAAAUGAAAAACCAAAAGCUGGUCGAUUUUUCUCUGGUAUGUUUAAAAGUAAUGCAAAUGAAGAAAUUGAAAAAUCAAAAGAAGUAACAUUGGAAACACAAGACAAAUCAGAACAACUGACAGAUUCUGCAGUUACUUCAUCACACCUUGACCAAACUCUGGAAGAUUUAGAGCAAAAAGUUAAUCCCGAUGAAAACAUAAAAGCAGAUGUUUCAAUAAUGACCACAAGUUCUACUGACAUGAUGCCCAAAAAACGAAAGGAAAAGACAGUUGGUUUCUUAUCUGGGCUUUUCAAAGGGGCUAAACAUGCCGUAGACGAGGUUGCCGAUGAAAUGAAAGAGUUCGUCGAGGAAACGAAACUUAAUGAAUUAGAAGAGGAAAAAAAAAUGAAAAAAGAUGUAGCAAAAUCUAUUGAUGCUACUUCAGAACUAGUUCAUUCAGUUUCUAAAAAUGCUGAAGAAACGUCCUCACUUGUUAUAGAGAAAAUGGAUUCAGCAGAGGGUAACAUACGCAAAAUGACUGAGGAAAUAUCAACCAACGCUAAUGAUUUGAAUAAUAAAUUAGAGUCAGAUGUUAAAACUGUUACUCAUUCCGCUAAUUCAUCAAUAAAUAAAAGUAAAGAUAAAGCUAGUGGACUUUUAUCUGGUAUUUUUAAAGGCUCUAAACGAGCAUCAGAAGAAUCUUCUGAUAAUUCGAAAGUAAAUAUUUCAGGAGAAAAAAAUAAGUCACAAAAAGAAAUCGAUUCAGUGGUAGAAAAUGUUGGGCAAAGUUCAGUUCCUCGUACGACUGAAGUAAAAACAAUAUUAUCUGAGAGCGUUAGUGAUACCUUAUCCUCACCAGAAGUAUCAGAACCUUCAAGCAGAAAAAGUUCAAGUAAAACUGGAGGCUUUUUAUCGAGCAUUUUAAAAGGACCAAAACAAGAAAAAUCAUCAACCCAACAAAUCGAUGAAAAAGAAAAAACUACAACUAGUCAAAAUGUACAAUCUUUAUCCAAAAUCGACGAAGAUACUUUGAUACACACGAAAAAAGAAGUUUCAGAAGAAUCUAAGCAAGUUGAUUCGUCAACGAUUUUUAAAAAAAGUAUUGUUGAAGUUACAACUAUUAUCACAGAAUCAGAAACUGUUUUAGAAAAAAAUGUUUAUGAAAAAAGCAGCGAAAUAAGUUCUGUAAUACCACAAUUAAAACAUUCAUCCGAAAGUGAGUCGAGUAGAGUGAUAAGUUCAUCAAAAACUGAAUCUUCUGAAAUAAUCCGGAAAUCUCCAGCAGAUGAAGAGAAAACCACAAUCGAUGAAUCCAAAAUUGAUGCCCCGAACGCAUAUAAGACUGAUAGAUUUAAUGCAGAUGAUGUCAAAGCAGUUACUUCAGAUUUUCUUCAAGAUUCUCGCGAUUUCGCAUUGAAAAUAGAUGAUAAAAUGCCAGAAAGCUCACUAGAACCAGUAGAUUCGUCAAGCUCUGAGCCAAGUUCAGCCAGGAAUUCUUUGGAAAGAGACACAACGUCAAAAGACAAAAGUAAAAAGAAUAAAAAAUCAAAAAAACCCGGAGUAAUAUCCAAUUUAAUCAAAAAGACAAAAGGCGCUACUCACAAAAUAGCGAAAGAAGUUGAUCAUGCCACAGAUAGUAUUAAAGACGCCACCGGCAAAUUCUGGGAAGAUACAAAGAGAGAAUCUAAAGACUCUAAGCCAUUUGGUAGCUACGAUGUUAACCCAAGUACCGAAAAUCGAGAGAAAGUUAGAGAUGAAGUCGCAUUAGAAUCAGACAUUAUGUUGGGAUCGUCGAGUCCUAUAGACAAUACAAAACCCGUUACGAGUAUUAAUAUAGAAGAAUCACGCCUUCCACAUGAAGUAGUAUCGUACCAGGAAAAAGAUAAUUCCAGCGUGCAAAUAACGCAAAAAUCAGUGACGGUAAUCGCUAGUGAAGUUUCGAGCAACUUAAUGCAUUCUGACCCAGUCUCUCAUCAGACCGUCACCACAGUCAUUACAAAGUCUGUGUGUACGGGCACGACACCACCACCCGAUCCAGCCGAUUUCAGUAACAAUAAAAGUAAAGAUAUAACCGAGGAGGCAACUAAACGAGCCCAAAUUCUUGCUGAUAUGAAACAAGCAGUCUUUAUCACUGACAAAGAGAACCACGAAAUUUGCGUAUCCACAAAACAACACGAGACAAGAUCGAAAAAAUCAUCGUUCGACAACGAAAACGCUAUCGACACGAAAGAUUUAAAGGAUUUGCAAAAUACCGCCGAUUCCUUGGAAAAUCAAGAUUCUUCCCGCAGUGUUUUUACAAAAAAAAAUUUAUCCGAAAAAUGCAACAAAUAUGCCAAGGAUAUGGUCAACACAGAAAAUUUAGUACUGAAAUUCGACGAGCCCGAGAAGCAAAAAGUCAUGAAUGAGAACUAUUAUCCUGAACAUAACGAUACGGUUGCCGAAGUUUCAUCAUUUUUGAAGAACACAAUGACGGUGAACAUAGACACUGCCCUAAAAAAUCUCGAGUUCAAUGAAAUGAAUGACGCGACGACCAGUCAACCCGACGAUAAAGCCGAGUUCUGGCGAGGAAUCAUGGGUGGCAGCAGCUCGGGCGAAGCGAGCGUGCCCAGCGAGCAUUGGGAUACGCAAUUUAGCAUUGACAUAUCGCCUGUAUCGGGUAACGACGACUCGCUCAUCAAGACGACUUCGAGGCAAGGUACAAUUAGCGAUACCGACAGCGACGGUUCACCAAAUCGCCGGCGUAGAUCGCCCAACAGACGAGGUCGAACUUUGGGCAGCUCGAGCGGCUCGGACGUGGCGCUUCACGAAGGCGCUGAACUGUCUCCUAUGGAGGAUGACCAAGUGACAGCAAUGGAAGAAACUACCGAUUGUUGUGUCGAUAGCAAACAAUCGACUGAGAAUGGUGAUGUGAAAAUGGAUGCAAAAACAAAUAGUAAAAGGUCCAAAUCUGCCGUUUUUGUGACGUGUGCGGCGAUCACGAUCUUGGUUGCAUUACUCGCUGUAAUGUUUGCACUGGAGCCUGAUGAUUUUAAGAGUGUUGCCAGCUCUCUUUCUAGUCACUCGAUUCGAGAGACUGGAAAAUGACUUUUUGCAACAAGGUGACCCAACCUACAUAGAGACAACCACAACUGAGAUAAAUCCUGACACGAGCGAAAGGAUCACUAAAGUAACGCAAAC